UGUAGUAAGAUGAGGCCCUGAAACAAACUCUUGUCUGAGGCCUAGUCUGAGGCAUGAAGCCUGAACCAAAGUACUUCCAGGC